CGAACCCCACAGCAAUCACAACAAGCGUAAUUGCAACAGUUGGUUUGCAUUUAAACUCUUAGGGCUGAUUGGACGCUCUCAAAAUGAAAGACGUUUAACUUGAAAAUGAAAGACGUUCAACCCCCCAUUUUACCUAUACAGAUCUCAGGCUCGGCUCCUCGGCCACUUAAAGAGUUUAUGUCAAAAAACAUCGUUCAGGAAGGAUUGCCAGGAGCUCCUUUUUUGCGGUGAGCGCUGUACUUCUUUUAGACUGCUAGAGCAAACAGUUUAAUCCAGGUCUUUUAAAAAAAAUAUUAUGACAGUACGCAUGUGUGUGCGUCAGGUGGGUGGGCUGAGGGCACGGAAUGUUGUAUUUGGAUCUUUAAACACGUCAUGUGAAUUUUGAUCCCAUAAGUGGCGACGGUCACGGAAUCUGCUGUACCCUCGCUGAGGUGCGCUGGAAUGCCUCUGAUUGUUUGAAAAGCCCGCUGAGCUUCACGGGGAGCAAGGAAGCAAGUCGGAACGCAGCACGGAACACGACGGUGAAACCGCAGCUCUAUGAUGCCCCCUGUGGCACGGCUCGGUACUGCAGCACAUGCUCCUUCAGAGCAGUUGUUGUGAAGAGAAAGUUUGUAAACUUAAAGGUUCAUCAGCUGAGCGAAACUGCUCUUGGACUUUCAGAGGCAAUAUAGUGGAAUUCAAAAGCGAUAACUGUAGGACUGCACAGGACUUAUCUUGGAAUAUUCUGCCUUAAACACACACCAACGCAUUCAAGCACUCAUGCGACACACACACACACCCACAUACACAUACUCACGUACACACACACACACACACAGGAACUACGGUCACCUUAAAGAGAAAAGCGAACCCUCAAACCCUUCAGAGGAUUUCUUAUAUCAGGACCUGAGGCUUACAUCAGCAGGUGUAAAGCACUUUACACCAACAGGAACUAGAGCAUGGGCCUGCGAAACAGGCCAAUAUGCUUCGCAGAUCGUCCGCCCACAGUCCCUGUCCUCAGUGCGCCAUUUUGAAGAAUCUGUCUGCAACACUGGGUUAGCUACAGGUCCCCACAGUGACUCCAUCCUCCGGCUGUGGGAUCCAGCCGACACCCAUGAUUGGAAGACCACACCCGUGUGGGCCGAAACCUCAUCUCUUUAUGGAUUGGAAUAAAACGUUAUGGCCUCUGAUAGCAGGUCAAAGUGCAGCAGGGAGUUUGCUGUAGGGAAGUCCCAGGGCUCCAGGGGAUCGGGAGACCAUGACGCCUUCUUCGAAACACAGAAAAAAGGCACACAAACUUCCACAGAGAUUCCCAAAAAAAAAACGCUAGAAUGUAUUUUGUUCAAAAAUACAAAAUGUCUCCCAAAAA